UCGAGAAUCUUCCGCAAUGGGCGAAAGCCUGACGGAGCGACACCGCGUGCAGGACGAAGGCCUUCGGGUUGUAAACUGCUGUCACGCUCUAGGAAUGCCAUGCUGUUAAUAGCGGCAUGGUUGACCAAGGCGAGAGGAAGUGGCGGCUAACUCUGUGCCAGCAGCCGCGGUAAGACAGAGGCCACGAACGUUGUUCGGAAUUACUGGGCAUAAAGCGCGCGUAGGCGGCUGGGUCCGUCCGAUGUGAAAGCCCCCGGCUCAACCGGGGAAGUGCAUCGGAUACAGCCCGGCUUGAGGACGGUUGGGGUGAGUGGAACUCCUGGUGGAGCGGUGAAAUGCGUAGAUAUCAGGAGGAACACCGGUGGCGAAAGCGGCUCACUGGACCGUUACUGACGCUGAGGUGCGAAAGCUAGGGGAGCAAACAGGAUUAGAUACCCGGGUAGUCCCUGAGCGGGCUGGCAAGGCGCAU
rnacentral:rRNA from 1 species